GAUGAACGCUGGCGGCGUGCCUAAUACAUGCAAGUCGAGCGAACAGACGAGGAGCUUGCUCCUCUGACGUUAGCGGCGGACGGGUGAGUAACACGUGGAUAACCUACCUAUAAGACGGGGAUAACUUCGGGAAACCGGAGCUAAUACCGGAUAAUAUAUUGAACCGCAUGGUUCAAUAGUGAAAGACGGUUUUGCUGUCACUUAUAGAUGGAUCCGCGCCGCAUUAGCUAGUUGGUAGGGUAACGGCUUACCAAGGCAACGAUGCGUAGCCGACCUGAGAGGGGGGUCGGCCACCCGGGAACUGAGACGGGGUCCAGACUACUACGGGAGGCAGCAGUAGGGAAUCUUCCGCAAUGGGCGAAAGCCUGACGGAGCAGCGCCGCGUGAGUGAUGAAGGUCUUCGGAUCGUAAAACUCUGUUAUUAGGGAAGAACAAAUGUGUAAGUAAAUAUGCACGUCUUGACGGUACCUGAUCAGAAAGCCACGGCUAACUACGUG
rnacentral:rRNA from 1 species